rnacentral:lncRNA from 12 species
UUACCCGCUUCAUUCGAUCGUUCGAUCCUCCGUUUUUUUUUUUUGUUUUUUGUUUUUGUUUGUUUUUCCUUUCGCUCUCCGUGUAUUUCCUAACCUUCCGCCCUGCUCGCUGGCUUUCGUCGACCUCUCCUUCUCGCCUCCCUCCCGCGUUGUUUUGUUCGGGUUCCUUUCCCUUAUUUUUAGUUGUUGUUGACCCGGUUUGGUUUUACCUCUGCGCGCUCCGUUGGUGACGCCGUCGCCGGCCGCGGCCCCGCCGCUCCGCUCUCCGCUCCGCUCUCCGCAGCGCGCCCACCCGGGGUCCCGCGGUGCGAGCGCACUCGGCGCGCCGGGCAGGGACGCGGGUCCGCGGGCGGGGGCUGCCCGCCGCGGGCGCCGAGCCAGGCCGGGUACCUGUCCCCAGCGGUGCUCCCGGCGCUGCGCGGCCGCCGCCGUCUGGCUGGGAUCAGAGGAGCCGGGCCAACUGCUUCUCAUUAAGUCCCAACUGUGGUUUUUAUCAGGAGAGCCUCUUUGAAAGGGCACAGCCACGAAGCUCCGCGCACUCGCUCAUUUCCUCCGCUGACCCCCACACGCCUCCCGCCCUCCCCUACACAUUCCCACCGCCCGGCCAGGCCAGGGCCCGAGCCGCCCGGCCCUCGGCGGAGGCCGGCGGGGGCCAGCGGGGCGCGGGAGGGCCGGGCCCGCUCCGGAGGAUCCAGCUCGGGCCCGAGGCGCGCAGACGGAGCGGGCGCCCGGCCCCGACAGGCCAGCGGGUGCAGCGGGCGGCGGCGGGCGGGCGGCGCGGGCGGUCGGGCCUUGGUGCAGCGGCGGCACCCGCGGCCGAGGCGCCCAGGGGGAGCCCCGCCCGGGCUGCUCUCGACGGCCCAGCGGCGACGGUCCGGUGCGAGGACGCCGAGACGGCGGGAAGGGCGCCCGUCGCCGAGCGUGACGCCGGGCCCGGGGUGGUCUGAGAAGGAAGAACACAGUCACUCCGUGUGGAGGGCGCCCCGAAGCGCGGGCUGGGCCGCGGCCGCGCCGCCCAGAGCCUUCCGAAGGCGCAGGGGCGCCUUCCUCGCCGCGGCUGGGCCCGGGGAGGCCCGGGGAGCCAGGCCGCAGCCCGCGGCCCCGUCCUGCUUGGCGUCUCCGCGUCGGGGCGCGCGCCGGGCCCGCACGGCCGCCGCACACGGAGGCCGCCGCACACGGAGGCCGGGCCCCGGCCCGCUGCGGGCGCCCGGGCCGGCGCGGAGCUCCGGCGGGGUCCUGGCAUCUCUCCAGGCUGCCGGAGCGCGGCCGCUGUGGGAGGGAAGCCCGGUCGCUGGCCCCAGCUUAGGGCCGCAGGGCCUGUGUGUGUGGAUAAGGGGGCGCCCUCAGCCGGGAUGCCCUCCUUGCCUUCGUCACUGGGGCAGAUCCUGCUCCUCCUCCAGUGGCACCCACAAUCCCUCCCUGAGAGCAAAGCCGUGGAGCUGGCCGCCGGGGUCCAGAGCUCCUUCCCUGAGGGGUGGGGGGUGGGAGGGUGGGUUGUGUCCCCACAGGGGCCUGUCUUCCUGUUCUCUCCUCCAACCUCAGGGUGGGCCCCCCCCCCCUUGAGCUCUGUGCCUGGAGCAUGCCCUGCGGGUGUGGGCAGGGGCCGACUGGCCGCCUGCGGGGGGGUGGGGGGACAGGCUCUGGCCAGGGAGCCUGGGUGCCUAGGCCCCGGGGGGCAGAGGCCCCAUCCCCGGGGCGGGGUGGCCGCUGGAGCCGGCCCAGGAGGUCGCCAGUGACAUCUAGUGGUCACAGCGGGCCGCAGCCCUCGGUUCCAGGUGUGAGGCCUAGGAGCGGGGCUAGGCCUGGAAGUGUGUUCCCUAGGGCUGCGGCAGCAGCGUGGGGCAGGAUGCUAUCUGGUGCAAGGACCCAGGCCACAGAGACGCUGGGCGGCCGCCAGUCGGUGUGGGCAGGGCUGGGAUGGCCACCUUCUUUCCACUCCUUUUACUCCUUGGUCCUAACCGGCUGGGCCCAGACGCCUCAGCCUCAGCUCCCAAGACGUGGCAGGGGCACCUUGGGGCCCGCCCUGGAAGGUCGUAGACUGCUGAGAUAGCCAGUGCCAGCCAGUGGAGGAGGAGCGGGCAACGGGCCUCACUGAGCUACCAAGCACCUACUCUGUGCCACAGGGCACCGCAGAGGGCAGCUGGGGGCACCUCUUUACAGCUGCUUGUUCCGUCCUGGGCUAGGCUGACGGAGCCCCGAGCAGCCUGAGAGGCCCCUCCGUGAAGGGGCAAGGGUCCCUGGGGACAGCUACAGGCGGUGGCGUGGGCUGAGUGGGUCUCUGGCAGCAGAGGGCAGCCGUCGCCGGCAGGGCAUCUGGGACCCGCCGGUGUCCACCCUCCCCCUGCUAGUGGGUGCUCUCUCUUCCAGGGUGCCUGAGAGUGUCGUGCAGUGCUGCUACCCCCUGGGCUGGCGUGGCAGUAGAGGCCCAGGGGGCCCCGACCCACGACCGCAGGCUCAGGCUCCACUCUCUGCCAGAGUUUGCCGUGGGCCAUUUGCAGCUGCAAGGAAAGAGAAGAGGGACAUUGCUUUCAGAAGGGAGGCUACAGAAGUAUUCGUUGCUCUU